ensembl:lncRNA
AUGUUAGUAAUGCAGAUCAUUGCAAACCUCCGUCUCUCUGAUCCUCCUCUCUUUCCUACUCCCACACGCACUCAACACCCCCCUCGCCCCCCCCCCCACUCAAACCUGCUUGUGGCUGCACUGGACCGUGGUAAUUCCUCUCCUGGGAGACUUUCUCAUGGAUGGGGAAGGAAAGAACAGGUGGAAAAACUUGGCAGCAUCCUAGCUAUCAAAAGCGCCGUGAAAAAGGGGUUUGCGAUUCCUGGCCCGGCACCGUGUUCUUGUUCCGGAGCGCACCGCCGCUCUGCCCUCCCCAAAUGGGAAGAGCACAAUAAAUGAGCCUGAUGGCCAUGCCCUGCCAGACCCAAAGCACAUGGGUAGUGUACUAAUUUGAUCAUUGAGAUACAAAUGCCCAUAGCCAUACACUGAAUCAUUUGAGCAGCCUCAGUGGGAAGCCAGGAUUUCCCAAGUUGCAUAUCACUCUUCUAGCCCAACCUGGUUCUUUUUGCUCACUACACAAACAUGUGAGCUGAAACAACACCAUUUUGUUUUGCCAUUGGGGAGGGUUUAUGAGCACUGUAGUUCUGCUGAUGGCCGGUUCUGUCUCAGUUUCUCAGUUGCAGUCCUGGGAACAUGCCCUGAGUUGUCUAAAACAAUCCACUUUUUUUGCUUAGAGCAAAGGCAAUGAAAAGGUUAUGACACUGUGGUGCAAGUUUUCCUUGUAAAUGAGAUGCAGAAGUCAAUGCCUGGCAGCCACUUUCUGUGAUGUACUUAAGAUCCUGAGCCAAGGGCAUGUGCCUGCAGAUGUCAGAGUGCGGAUUUACACGGCAAACAGAGAUGUGGGUCUCUGGCUGAAUUUGCAUGUACUACAUACGUCAGCUUCAUUUCAUCUGAUGAUGGCAUUCGGAAUCCUUGGCAAAAGACAUUUUACAAUACAGCAUGUGCUCUCUGAACACAGGCUCACCUGGGUGGUUUGGGAGUGGGGCAGACAACAGCAUGAAUUCGGUGCUCAGUGACUCUUCAGGGCAGGACUUCACUUGUAACAAGCAACAAAACUGGAUGUGCAGGGGAGGAGGAGGGGAGGAAGGAGCAUAGAGUCAUGGCUUGAUCUUGCCCAGAGCUGAUUUCAACAGACUCCAUGGGAGCUAGGACUAUUCCAUACUUAACAGUGGGAGCUCAGGUAAUUGUGAGAUUGAAUCGUACAGGAGACCAUGGCUUGCCAGAGAAGAAGUCAAAUAACAUCAAAGCAAUCAAAGGAAUACUUCAGGAAUUACUGAGUGAAAUACUCUGGCUCAAACGGGACCGUAGGUUAGGUUAAUUACAAUUAGUGCAUCUAGAUCUAACAUCUGUAAAUGUCCAUUUCCAUUUUGUUCUUGCUUCCACAACUUUACCUUAAAGUCCUGAUCUGGAUGAAGUAAAAUGAGGAACAAAGAAAGGAGGAGGAUCAUCGUCAGGUGAAUUUUUAGGAGGGCUGCCGAAAGACAGGGGAUGUGAAUGUCUUUGUGUUAGGUGGGUGAGAACUAAGUCCUGCUUUUGUUCAGGCAGUAAAUGGGGCCAGAAGCAAUCAGAGUGAUGGGAUGGUCCCAUGAAGCCAGGGUGUAAAUAAUCCCGGUUGAUACCUGUGUAAAACAUCUGCCCAGUGAAAUUCCUUAGCACAGCUCAGAGAUGCAACACAACCACUAGUGCAUCUGGUUCCAGACCAGCCUCUGCAACACCAACACACUGACAUCAUUUUAAUAAAACGCAUAUCUCACUGAUCA